GCAUGAAGCCCCCCUCAAGAUGAGAUUUCCCAACUUCGGUUAUAAGAUCCCUCAAAGAUGAUGAGGUUAAUAGGUUCGAGGUGGAAGCGUGGUGACACGUGGAGCUGACGAAUACUAAUCGAUCGAAGACUUAAUCAAAA
rnacentral:rRNA from 1 species